rnacentral:tRNA from 4 species
UGCCCGAUGGUGUAAUUGGCAACACAGUGGAUUCUGGUUCCAUCAUUCUAGGUUCAAGUCCUAGUCGGGCAAC